rnacentral:lncRNA from 1 species
GAUGAAGCUGCUGUCUUUCUCUCUUUAUGUUAACAAUUCAUCAUUUGGAAAUUUGGAACCCCCUCCUUCCCCUUUCUCCCUGACCAAAAGGAAAGCAGAUAGGAGGUGGGGAAGAAACAUCCAGACGCAUACCCGCCAUAGCUGAUGCAAACCGGGCUGAAGGAGAAAAUGGGGAAGGGAGAAGGGACCAAGGGGAAAGGGGAGGAGAGGAAAGGAGAGGGCGGAGACACCAGCGUAUAAAUAAUGUUGUUUCAGGUUACUAUGGGACACACGUUACGUUUCCAUGGUUGCAUUCAUUUAGUCUGAAUCUGAAUCAGCUGCUGUACAUCACAGCCGCACCUUCCCUGUCCCCGGACAUUGGACACUGUACACUGCCGGACAAUCCUCCCCCUCCACACACACACACACACACACACACACACACACACACACACACACACACACACACACACACAUACACACUCCUCUCUAGCCCUCCAGAGGCAUGCACCAUCUGGACUGCAUUCAAGUCUCUGGUCUGGCCUACUUUACACCCUCCCCUUCUUGAUGCGGUGGUCUCUCCAGGCUCCACUGCUUGCUCUGAUCAGCUUCAUACUAUCCCACCAAGGACUGCGGGUUUUGAGCUUUUUUUCUACAGGUGCUCCUGGCAGCUGAAGAGACAAGCUGGAGAGAGGAGGUUUCAUUAAACCACCAGGCUAAGCAUGUCAUUCUGUAGCGUCUGAUAGGAGUGAAAAAAUUCUAUGUGUCUGGGGUGGGGGCAGGCAGGGGGAGUAUUGCAUACAUUGCUGUUUCUGGAGUCACAAGAAAAAAGAUCCUGAAGGAAAAAAUAAAGAAUACUAGUUCGUUAUAAUCCUAUCCA